UGGAGGCUUCCCUAGAAAAGAAAAGGUGCAUCUGAAUAUUCAGCCAUUUUACCUCUUCCAAGCAAACUCAGCCAGACAAUCUGCUUAAUUCUCCGUUUGUCAUAAACACAUGACAAGGACAUUUUAAAUCCCCCUCUUUUUUUUCUGCUUGGUUUUGUUUUUUCCUCCCAGAAUGAAAAGAGCUCUUUUACCUCUGAGGGUUUAUGUUCCAUUAUUUCAUUGGCAUUGAUUUCCUUGCCACAGAGCCCAGCUUAUUUCAAACGCAUGAAAUCUGUCCUCACUACACAUUGCCACUGGAGUUUAUUUCCUAUCCUCGUUCCCAGGCAUAGCUUCUCUUUUUUGAAAAACAAAGGAUCCUGCCAGUACAGCAACCUUGCUCACAACCUAUUUCAGGAUGACAUCUGACCCGGGAGGUUUGCAUUUUAGCUCAGCUCUUGCUUGUACUGUCAUCAUACAAGAUUCCCCUCUGAGCAGAAUCCCAUCCCCUGUGGAUUGCAGAGGGUGUCAUUGAAUAGACAAGAUCCUCAGCGAUGGACACCCGUGCAGGGCACUUUGGCUUUGGAAACCCCCGGCACUUCAUCUUCAUGAUCGUUUGCAAAUAUUCACUGAGGAGACUCUGAUGAGGAGGUGGUGAAAACAUAGAACCGAACAAAGGAGAACCUGUUCCAUACAUUUGGCCAUGAAUGCUUACUACGUUUCUGAAACAAUGUCAACCAUCUCAUCUUUCUCCUUCCAGCAGGAAAUAACCUGCUGCAUCAUCAUGGUGGAGGCCCAGAGCUGGUACCCACACCUGGGGAAGCAGACCAGGUGGAAAGGAAGAGGAUGCUGAGGAUGGAUUGUGAAGCAUCCUUCUCUCUUGCUGGAGCCCCACCACCUCAGUUCUCACCACAUGUCCUCUUGUGGGUGCUGAAACCAGGAUGAAGAUGGAGUGUGGUGGAAGACACACCCCUUCUCUGUGGGCUGGGCCUCCUCUCAACCCAGAUCCCGGACCCCCUUAGCCUCCGACCUUCAGACAUCCGAUGAGUCCCUGACUUCAGGACCUGCAGGGUGAUGCUCCUCCCUGUGGAAGAAAGGGUCCAGGGAGGAGCUGGGAGGAGACAGAAACUCAGCUCAACUGGGUGUCAAGGUCAGGGGCCCCACCUCUCCUCAUAUUAAGGAGGACACUCUGUAAGCAGAGGAGGGAAGCCAGCCAAGUGACCCUCGAGUGGAAAUCAGAGCAGAAAUCUUUUGCCACACAAUCCCCAUGGGAAAUAGGACAAAAUUAGUAACGGGAAUGAGGUCUCCCUCAGAGGAUGUGAGAAUCACUGACUUGAAAAUAACCGCAAGGUCAUCUAGUCCAGCUGCCACCAGCUGCCCGAAGUUUUCCAACAGAUUUUUGGACAAGCAGGCAUCAAGCCUCACACAGCAGCGUGGUGCUUUGAUUUCCAGCAGAGACCCUCGGUGAGCCAAGAUUCCUUUACUCUGGGCUAUGUAUUUGGCUGCUUUAGUGAACCAGCCUUAAAACAUUCCCCAGGACAGGUCAUUCUUUUGUUGUUAUGGGCUUUUAUUCCUGUGAAAGCUCUGAGAUCAUGAUUUCAGAACUGGAAGGAACCUAGUCAUUUAAUCCAGCCUCCUCAUUUGGCUUAUGAAAACUAAAAGGAGCCUUGAGCCUUGGGCUAGAAUUCAGACAGCAUCCCCACUGUUGUCCCCCAGCACAUCCUCUGAGGUUGCAGCCUCUAGCCCUAGGACCCUCGUGGCAGGACUCAGUGGACUCCCUGUCUUCUGUUACCUGAUCCCCUGCAACCCUGGUCCUGCUGACGCUUCCCUUGUCUUCAAAACCCUCCUCUCUUGGUCUUUGCAUCAGCCUUCCUGGUGUCCACUCACCUUUUCAGUCUUCUCAGUUGGACGUUUCUCUACCUGCCCUGUAAAUAAAUGCAGGUAUUCCCUACAGCACACACUGGGCCCAGCUCUCUCACUCCAAAUAUUCUGUUAGUUACAGUCACCUCCUGUGUAUGGAUAAUUUACCAAUAUCCAUCUUCAACCCACAGCUCUCUCCCCAGCUAGUACUUUAUAGCUAAAGAUCCAGCUAUUGACUGAUCAUCUCCUUGUCAGUGUCUCAUAAGCAUCUUCACUCAGUAUGUUAAAGAAUGAAUGUAAUUCACUAUCUGCUCCCUCCAACCCUGUUCCACUCCUGCAUUCCCUACCUCCCCAAAACAUCCCUCUAUCAUAAUACUCAAACCCAGGAGUUAUUCUAGACUCCUCUAUUUCCCUCAACUCCUUCCUCCAGUCUGUGCCUACCAGGAAGAAAUGAUGGAAGGAGUAUAGCAAACAAUCGCACCAGGAUUGAGGAAGGUGGCCUUGCCUCCCAAACUCAAGGGAUGUCAAGAAUGAAACAAAGAGCAGACUCCUGGUAAGAUCAGCAGACAUACCUGUGCCCAUCAUGAGUGGGAGAGCCAUGGCUUCAGUCUAUCCUUAGAUGCUUUCCAAAAUUCACCUCAUUAACAUAAACCCAGGUAUGAGGUAAAGGGGCUUGUUAUGAAUAACAGGACAUCUGUUUCACUUAUAUGGCUCUGAAGAGACUUCAGGAACUGAAGACAAGAAAUCAAAUAUUACAACAAAAGAUGCUCCCAUUCCCCUUACUGCUCAGAAAGUUCCAGAGGUUUUGGAAGCUGUGAGCCAGGUACCAUGGAACCAGUAUCUGUGAGAAAUACAUUUUGGUCAUCUGAAUGACCAAAUACAUAUUUUUAUAAAUCACAAUAUCUCAAGCUGCUGAGUCUAUGCAGCCACUCCCUGAUCACUGCCUCCUCCAAACAUUUUUCAGCCACUUAAGCUUUAUUCACUUUAAAAAUAAUGUGCUCAUAUGGGCAGCUUUGCUGCAAUACCUGUGCCUUUCACAGCUAUUAUGCAUUCUUAUCUACCUUCGGCUUCUAUGUCCUCACCUUCUCUUCUCUCAUCACUGCUUUAUUUAUCUUAGGCUUCCUGAAACUGCUCUCACCAGUGGCCUCCAUGCUCCUAAUUAAUUCCAGUGUAUACUUUUAGCCCCUGCCUUGCUUGAUCUCUUAAUAAUAGUUGGCACAGCUGGCCAUACCCUCCUCUGUACCUUUGGCCUACUUGACACAAUGAUUUUUCUCCUAACUUCAUGGUAGGCUCUUUUGCCUACGUGACUGAGGCCUUGAAACACUGGAGUCAGGUGGCAUUCUGCCCCAGCCCUCCUUCCUUAUUCAUCCUCAAGUCUUUCCUUGUGACCCCAUCCACCCAGGGACUUGGAUCACCAUCUGCUGUAAACUAAUGGCUCUUUAAUCUGUGGCACCUGCUCAGACUUGCUCCUAAGCAGAACUAUCACCAUGGGGAUGUUGCCUGUGUAUACGUGACACUCAGCGUGUCAGACGCUGACUCAGAGCCUGCUCCCCACUCUCACCCUCACCAUCACAUCACUCAGCAUCCCAAACCCCACUUAUUCCAACAAGCCUCCCAGAAAUGGCAUACACCGGCUAUUCAAGGCAGACACUGAAGUUCAUUUUUUACCCCUCUCACUUCCUAACCACCCAAAUCCUAUGCAAACAGACUCUAAGUUCAUGUCCUUCCUUCUAAUGCAGGCUGCCCCAGGCUGUGACCAUCAUUUCUCAGCGGCACUCCAGAACACACCUCUCAUCACAUCUCCCGGUGUCCACUCUUGGCCCCUUCCAAUCCAUCCUCACACUGCAGCCAGAGAGGACUUUACAAAAUGCACACAGGGCUGGGUCACUUAACUGCAUAAAAGCCUUCGAUGGUUCCCAUGGUUCAGAUAAUGCUCCAAACCUCAACAUGGCUUGAUUUCUGUCCCACAAUGGCACUUCUCAGACCCAUCUUGCCAGCUUAAUUAAACAUUUUCACUUCUUCAAGUGCUUCAGCUCUUUCUAGUGUCUAAUUAAUUAAUUUAUAUGCAUUGACCAUUAGACUUAAAGAUCCACAAGGUCAUGAGUCUGUCUGUUUUGUU